CCGAGGAGCAUGUGGUUGAGUCACUCCACCGCUCCGUUCUGCUCCGGGGUGUAUGAUGCCGAGUGGGUGUGCACGGUGCCGUGCUGGCGCAGCCACUGCCGCAGUUGCUUGGCGAUGUACUCACCGCGUUUGUCGCUGUGCAGCGUGUGCACCCCUGCAUGGUUCAGGUGGCGGGCCUCCAGCUGCGUCACCAUGUCCUGCAGCACUUCACCCACUU
rnacentral:lncRNA from 1 species